rnacentral:rRNA from 1 species
UACGUAGGUGACCAGCGUUGUCCGGAUUUACUGGGCGUAAAGAGCGCGCAGGCGGUCGUUCAAGUCGAGUGUGAAAGCCCCCCGGCUCAACUGGGGAGGGUCAUUCGAUACUGAUCGACUCGAAGGCAGGAGAGGGUAGUGGAAUUCCCGGUGUAGUGGUGAAAUGCGUAGAUAUCGGGAGGAACACCAGUGGCGAAGGCGACUACCUGGCCUGUUCUUGACGCUGAGGCGCGAAAAGCUAGGGGAGCAAACGGG